GAUAGCUGGUGGGCAUUCUCUAAGGAAUGACCCUGGGCCUUCUCUUCUAGAUUAUAAACUCUGAGCAAAUAUAUUAGAUCCACGUCAUCCCUGGUCCUGGUAAACUUGAGGGAGAGAUGAGGACUCAGCCUGUUGGCCCUCACUUGGUAGCUGCUGCUUUUAGGGGAGCAAUCUUACUUCCAUCCCAGUUGGAAGGUGGAGCCAAGAUGGAAAAAUAAUAGGAAGAAGUGCCAUGAGAAUCCCCCUCCAAAGAAAUUCCCCUCAAAUACGCAGUAUAUAGAAAACUCACCGGACUAAAUCCAGAUGGAGAGAUCUUAAGAAAAAGACACAGUCAAGAACUUGCAGAGCUCAGACCAAGGGGACAGUGAUCAGACUUUGCCCUGGAUCAGACCACUUUGGGAGCACGGACAGCUUACAGGUCCCCGGUGUGAGCUGUGCCUAAGAUCCUGGAAUAACACAGUCAAUACAGCUGAGACCUUCAUUACAGAAGAGUGCAGAACCUUGUCCUAGAAUCAAGUACAUAGUCAGGAAGUAGGCUGGAAGAAUGAGCGAGUGGAAUAUAUCUAGACAGUAUGGAAUAUACUGUCCUUGAGAAAGGUGUGCAAGCCUUCAAGAAAGUCUGGAUGGUGCUGCAUAUAGCAUGACCACUACCCACUACUUAGGAAAUACUGUACGCAUUAAUAAAUAUAUAAAUAUAGAA